rnacentral:rRNA from 1 species
UACAGAGGUCCCAAGCGUUGCUCGGAAUCACUGGGCGUAAAGCGCACGUAGGCGGCUUCUUAAGUCAGGGGUGAAAUCCUGGAGCUCAACUCCAGAACUGCCUUUGAUACUGAGGAUCUUGAGUUCGGGAGAGGUGAGUGGAACUGCGAGUGUAGAGGUGAAAUUCGUAGAUAUUCGCAAGAACACCAGUGGCGAAGGCGGCUCACUGGCCCGAUACUGACGCUGAGGCACGAAAGCGUGGGGAGCAAACAGG